CGGCUUCUUCUGCUCUGUAGGGACUUCUGUACCGAAACCAUGCCCAAAAGGAACAUUCAGUGAGCAGAGCGGGCUCGUGGAUGAGUCUCAGUGUCGUAGCUGCAGUCCUGGCUUCUACUGUUCAGAGACGGGCCUCUCUGCAGCCUCUGGACCCUGCCUGGCAGGUUUCUACUGUCUAGAGGGAUCUCAGACUGCUACUCCAAUGUCAAGUGUAUCCGGAAGUGUUUGUCCGACAGGCCACUACUGUGCCGAAGGCAGCAGUGUACCCUCGCCCUGCCCAGCUGGCUUUUAU